rnacentral:rRNA from 1 species
UACGAAGGGGGCAAGCGUUGUUCGGAAUUACUGGGCGUAAAGGGCGCGUAGGCGGUGCGCUAAGUCAGGCGUGAAAGCCCUGGGCUCAACCCGGGAAUUGCGCUUGAUACUGGCGUGCUCGAAUCCGGGAGAGGUUGGUGGAAUUCCCAGUGUAGAGGUGAAAUUCGUAGAUAUUGGGAAGAACACCGGUGGCGAAGGCGGCGACCUGGUCCUUGACUGACGCUGAGGCGCGAAAGCGUGGGGAGCAAACAGG